rnacentral:rRNA from 1 species
AGUCGAGCGGAACGACACUAACAAUCCUUCGGGUGCGUUAAUGGGCGUCGAGCGGCGGACGGGUGAGUAAUGCCUAGGAAAUUGCCUUGAUGUGGGGGAUAACCAUUGGAAACGAUGGCUAAUACCGCAUAAUGCCUACGGGCCAAAGAGGGGGACCUUCGGGCCUCUCGCGUCAAGAUAUGCCUAGGUGGGAUUAGCUAGUUGGUGAGGUAAUGGCUCACCAAGGCGACGAUCCCUAGCUGGUCUGAGAGGAUGAUCAGCCACACUGGAACUGAGACACGGUCCAGACUCCUACGGGAGGCAGCAGUGGGGAAUAUUGCACAAUGGGCGAAAGCCUGAUGCAGCCAUGCCGCGUGUAUGAAGAAGGCCUUCGGGUUGUAAAGUACUUUCAGUUGUGAGGAAGGGGGUAAGUUUAAUACGCUUAUCUCUUGACGUUAGCAACAGAAGAAGCACCGGCUAACUCCGUGCCAGCAGCCGCGGUAA